ACCUACUGGAAUGAAGUAAAAACCUACUGGAAUGAAGUUAAUCUUAAAUUUCGAGAGGUAAGCGGAAUUAACCCCUUAUUCCGAAAUUUCUCCAUUUCCAACAUUCCCAAUUUGGGGAAAAAAUCGAAUCCCUAAUCAGAAGUGCAUCGUUCCCCUCAUCUUCUACAUUCGGCGCAUCACUCCGGGCAGCAGCCUUGCGCCGCCGUCGUCUUCCCCCUCGGCGUCUCGCGUCACCGGAGACCCUCUCUUCCUCUCGGCUGCAACUCCGGGUAGCCGCCUUCGUGACCGCCCUUACUACUCCGACAACUCGCAGCACCGCUACCGCCGUCAUGCACAGGCGGCGGUUUCUCCGCUGCCGCCUCUCUGCGCUUGGCGUCGCACCGAUGCCGCCGUUUCACAGCCGGAGCCGCCGCUGCCUCGAAGGCAGCUCACAGCCUCUGCCGACGCCAUCCGCUCCUCUGUCGGCUAAGCUCGGGGCCUCCCGACACCCCACCCAUUUCCUAAGCUAAGUUCCUCUUCCUAGAAUUCCAGUUCUUGAUUCAAGGUGUUUACUUUAGAAAUUUUUGUGUUUUAGGCUUGGCCGAAUCUGAGUUAGGAGGAACACGCACUAUCCUAAACCCUUUUUAUCAUUUAGAAAUUGAGGUGUUGUUAUUAAGGGGUCUAAAGCUGGAAAGGGAUUAACAUUUUGUUCUUCUGUUCCAUUUCGUACAAGAGCAUACUUGAGCCUUGAGCUACUGUUAUUCCCUUUCUAUCAUUCUACCAUGCUAUGAUUUUGUUGAAGUGUUGGUGCUUUAGCAUGCUUGAGGUUUGGUUGCUAAACGAUGGCAUGGCAUUUAAAUUGGAUUCGAAAAGGAGGCGGAGGUUACCUUUUUGAACGGUAGAUGCUGCUCCUUGAGUUUCCUGUUUCUAGACUCUAAGUUCGCCCACCCACUUCGAAGCUCCUAUUUGCAAUGAAAGGGAAAAGGGUGGUUUGAGUUCUUAGUAUGAAAGGAAAGGUGGGGAGGGAGAGGAAACAAAGCCUUAUUUACAGAAGGUAGUGGCUGCUGUAAGAAGCCUGCAGAAAACUCUACUCCAAGCGCUCUCUCUCACUCUCAAUCUUGCUAUCUGAGACUGAAGUUUCAAAAUGUGUGGAAGGGAUGUGGAGGGGUUUUUAUAGGAGGAUUUUGGUGUACUUUGAUGAAUUAAAUGGCUGAUAUGGUAUUUUGUAGCAUAUCUCUCAAUUUGAUUCACUUUGUAACACUUGUAUUUGGUGUUAUUUGGUAGUACUUGAUACUUGGCUAUUACUCCAAUUUGUUUGCUCAUUGCAGGGCAUUGACCUUCCUUUCUUGAACAAGACAUGGGCUGCCCGCUGCCAUCCGCGGUACGGGCUCACUGCCCUGGGCCCAACGGCUGCCUCGGAUACGGCCCGCAAUGGGAGCGAUUUGGGCUUGGGGAGAAAUGAUGCCCAAAAGCAUAUUUUGUAUUCUUAAACUCCAUCUCGUCAAUUCGUGUGCAAAAAUUUGUAUCUAGCUAGUAGUUGAUAUGUAUUUAAAAGGAUAUUCGAACAUCUUCGUUCGGAAAGGCAAGUUCAUAUUCUUGUACAACGCUCCUUUUAUUUCAUAACGUAUAUUAGAUUGUUUAGUUCA